UAUUUCGGAAGCAUUCGCAAGAAGAGGGAAAACCCGCGAAUAACGGAGUUUUUUUCAAUCAAAAAUUUUAUCGGAGUCUGUUUCAGUGCACUCGCCGCCGAUGGCCGGGGAGGAGCCGUCCGCCGUCGCUUCUGGCGUCGACAGGGAUAUCUGGAGGGCGAUCGCAGGAUCAUCGGUGGAAAUUCCGCCGAUCGGUUCGUUGGUUUACUACUUCCCGCAGGGACACAUGGAACAGCAUGGAGUAGGCGAUUCGAAGCGUAACUGCUUCGAUGAAGUCGGUCGGAGUUACUUCUGUUGCCGAGUCCUGUCGGUUCGUUUGUGUGCGCAUCAUUCUUACGAUUCGGCGUUUGUUAAGUUUGUGCUCCAGCCGGAGGAGGAGUCGGAGGGAGCGGGGACGUGUGUUGGUGAGGAUGGCGGGGAGAGUGACGUGGUUGUUUUGGGGAAGGUUCUGACACUUUCUGACGCUAACAAUGGCGGAGGUUUUUCGGUUCCGAGGAUGUGCGCCGACUCCGUUCUUCCACGGCUCGAUUUUCAGGUGGAUCCGCCGGUACAAACAUUGGCCAUGAAGGAUGCGCACGGCAAAGUUUGGGAAUUUCGGCAUAUCUACCGAGGCACGCCGCGGCGCCAUUUGCUUACAACUGGCUGGAGCAAGUUCGUUAAUGAGAAGCGUCUCAUUGCCGGAGAUUCAGUUAUUUUUAUCAGGAAAAUCUCGACGAAUGAACUCUUCAUCGGAGUUAGGAAAUCCAGGAGAAGCGGUGGAUUCACGGGUUGGGAUUGCCAAGAUGACUUUUCCACUGGCGACGCCUCCGAGCCGUUGGAAGCAAUUCAAAACGCGGUUAAUGGAAAGGCGUUUGAGGUUGUGUAUAACCCGAGAAUUGGAUCGCCUGAUUUUGUGGUGAGAGUGGAGAAGGUCAAGAAUGCGUUGCAGAAGAGCUGGGGCACGGGGACACGAAUCAAAAUUUCUGUGGAGACGGAGGAUUCAGCUCAGGUGUCAUGGUUUCAGGGAACGGUGACCUCAGCCGCGAUUCCAGACUCUGGGCCGUGGAAAGGUUCUCCAUGGCGCUCGCUUGAGGUGAUUUGGAAUGAAGCUGAACCUCCAUUGAAGGACCUGAGCAAAGUGAACCCUUGGGAUGUUGUACAAGUUCAGUCCAUGCAACUGCGUGCUUCCACAUCCCCUCCUUCGAAGAGGAUCAAAACUGUGCAAAACUCAGCAAUUCUAACUGAUGGAACAAGAGUGCAAGAAUCUACCACUGCACCAAUGGCGGGUUCUAUCAAUUUAUCUAAGCACAAUUCUAUUUCUUCUCCUUCUGACAUGCAGGGAGCCAGGCAAGAUAAGAUCUACAGAUCCUGUGUAUCUAGCUACCAGAAUGAAACAUUCACUCCACCCCAUAGGAAUGACACAGAGCAUGGACUAGGAACAGUCUCAACGGUGGGAAGUAGUGUGAGUAUGCUUUCAGGCAGUUUGUCGCUUGGUCAUCAGAAUGGUGAUCAUUUCAGCUGUGAAGAUAGUAGCAACCAGAAAGGACAUAAAUCUCCCAUUACAAAACCUAAUACAAUACAGCUAUUUGGAAAGAUCAUUAUCUUCAACUCUGAUAAAGAUUCUCCAGAAAAUAAUGUUGGCAAAACAAAUGAUCAGGCAAGGAAGUGAACAUCAAGGGAAAUGGUAUAAACAUAUUCUUUCUUAGGAUAGUCAGUGCAGCGAUCAAAAGACAAGUCUAAUAGCAGUAGUGGUAGCAUUGGUAGAAUCCCUUUCUUGCAGACCUGGGGGCUCUUUCCAAUGCAAGUGCCUAAUGCUUCUGGUAUGGUCUUCCACUUCUGGCACACUACAACCAGCUUGUUCACUCUUCUGCGGUUUUUCCUCGG